rnacentral:pre_miRNA from 1 species
CCCGGACGACAUCUUUACCUGACAGUAUUAGAAAUUGCAUAAAUUUAUAAUCUAAUGCUGCCCGGUAAGAUGUGAACAGA